GAGAGAGAGAGAGACAAUGAGACCAGGCUGGCUUAUAUCACCUUGGGUAGAGGCCUAGCCAGGUGUGAGCAACUUGCCCUAACGACCCUCGCUUUCAGCCAACUCCUGCAGGAAGUAAUCAGCUGCCGAAAGGGAGGGGUCGUAACAGAGUACUAAAUUAAAGGACUAAUGCACUACGACUGACACUAAUGAGUUAUCGCAUGAAAACUAACAGAAUGACGCAUCUAACCCCGCAUGAAAUGCUUACGGGUCGACCCAUGCCUUCACCUGUCAUUCGAGGGCCUCAUAAAGGACCUCCAUUAGAACAAUUGGAAACUGAAUUAAGACGCUAUAUGAGACAACUAACUGGCAUACACAGGCUUAUUUUUCAACAGGAGAAAGACAGAGUUCCAGAGUUGGAGAAGGAGCCACCAAGGGGGGUGGAGCCAGGUGACCAAGUGUACCUAAGGGUGUUCAGGAGAAAGUGGAACGAGCCCAGGAGAGAAGGGCCAUACAAAGUCACCAACGCAACACCAACAGCCAUCCAGGUGGAAGGAAGUGCCACAUGGUAUCACCUCAACCACUGCACAAAAGCCGCUCCACCUAAAACCAGGGAUGAGCGUGAGGAGGAGCCAGAUGUAGACACGCCUGGGGCUGACCAACUACCCUAGGACCAGACCCAGCCGAGUCAGGAGCGACAGCCACACAAUGAUGCUGAAAGUGAUCUAUGAUAGCAUCUAGGCUCUCAAGGGAGAUGACCCUUAGGGUAACUGGCAUAGAUGAGUCAAAUGAUUGGGAGUGGAAGCUCUAUGGAAAAGUGCUUCAGAGCGAACCUGAAGAGGAGAGUGGACUGUGAUAUAUCAAACACCAGGUGGAGGCUCACACGAUGUGCUAGUAACCUCUCCAUGUGAGCCGGCCUCGUGAUCUACGAGGCUUGAUUUCAGUCAUCAGGAGCAACAUCUAUCACAAUGUCCAAAACCCCCCACUCGUAUCCUGCGCACCAAUACAUGAAGAUCACCUGAGCCAUUCAAAUCCAUGCAAGCAUGCAGACAAUCUCAAAUUUCUAAAAACGGUAUUAUGAUGAAACAUCCGUUUUUGAGUGUAUUAUUAUGACGCAUAUUAUUAUGUCACGUAUUUCUUUAAAUGUAUAUUAUUGGGUCACAUUUUUUUGUAUAAUAUUGGGUCACACAUUUUUGAAAUGUAUAAUAUGAUGUCACAUAUUUUUGAAAUGCCAAUUUUCAAUGCAUGCUGAAUGAUUGAUUAUUAUGCUGUUUAUGAUUAUUAUGUAGGUAUUCUAGAUACACAUUUGAUAUAGUUGCAUGAUGAAUAUAGAAUAUUGUGUUAUUAUGAUUAGAAAGGUUUUAUGAUUACAUAUGAACAACUUGUAGGGAUUAGAGUGUUAAUAAUACGCUGCAUUUGGUAAAUCUUUUUGGCCUAAAAUCAGGUUGAAAUCCCUGUCGAAGCUUUUUACCGAGGUUUUUACCGAUGACCAGAUGUGGUGUCAAUUUGGCAAGGGCUUAGCAGCAUAUAGGCUUAGCAAUAAUUCAAGUAAUUUGUUGGAACCUUAUCGGCCCCAACAAGGGGGGAUAUGUGGGAGAAAUUAACCAUUACUUUUAUAUUAACUAUGAGUAUUAUCAGGCCUAUAUACAUCAGGCAUAAACAUUAAUGUGGAAAAGUAGAGAAACCACACCUGGACCCAGAGUAAUGGCCUGAUAAGGCGCCAAGGACUUUGGGGCCCAGGCUACUGUCAUCCUCCCAUUUUUAGAUUAACUACAGGAGAUGAGCACAUACGUAAGGGAAUGUAAGGCCAUUUUGAACAUAUACCAGGACGGUCAUAUAUUACAUGCAUGACAGCACAGUUGGUGUGGAUAAGAGGGACUGGGAUCGGAGCCCCAGUCAGUGUGUCUUUUGCAAAACCACAUGCUCGGUUCUGUUGUACCUAUUUUGUGGGUAACAAUAAAAUCUCUGUCAUUAUUUUU